rnacentral:rRNA from 1 species
AGAGUUUGAUCCUGGCUCAGAUUGAACGCUGGCGGCAUGCCUUACACAUGCAAGUCGAACGGCAGCAUGGGAGCUUGCUCCUGGUGGCGAGUGGCGAACGGGUGAGUAAUAUAUCGGAACGUACCCUAGAGUGGGGGAUAACUAGUCGAAAGAUUAGCUAAUACCGCAUACGAUCUACGGAUGAAAGUGGGGGACCGCAAGACCUCAUGCUCAUGGAGCGGCCGAUAUCUGAUUAGCUAGUUGGUGGGGUAAAAGCUCACCAAGGCGACGAUCAGUAGCUGGUCUGAGAGGACGACCAGCCACACUGGAACUGAGACACGGUCCAGACUCCUACGGGAGGCAGCAGUGGGGAAUUUUGGACAAUGGGCGCAAGCCUGAUCCAGCAAUGCCGCGUGAAUGAAGAAGGCCUUCGGGUUGUAAAGCUCUUUUGUCAGGGAAGAAACGGUCUUGGUUAAUACCUGGGGCUAAUGACGGUACCUGAAGAAUAAGCACCGGCUAACUACGUGCCAGCAGCCGCGGUAAUAUGUAGGGUGCAAGCGUUAAUCGGAAUUACUGGGCGUAAAGCGUGCGCAGGCGGUUAUACAAGACAGAUGUGAAAUCCCCGGGCUCAACCUGGGAAUUGCAUUUGUGACUGUAUGGCUAGAGUGUGUCAGAGGGGGGUAGAAUUCCACGUGUAGCAGUGAAAUGCGUAGAUAUGUGGAGGAAUACCGAUGGCGAAGGCAGCCCCUUGGGAUAACACUGACGCUCAUGCACGAAAGCGUGGGGAGCAAACAGGAUUAGAUACCCUGGUAGUCCACGCCCUAAACGACGUCUACUAGUUGUCGGGUCUUAAUUGACUUGGUAACGCAGCUAACGCGUGAAGUAGACCGCCUGGGGAGUACGGUCGCAAGAUUAAAACUCAAAGGAAUUGACGGGGACCCGCACGAGCGGUGGAUGAUGUGGAUUAAUUCGAUGCAACGCGAAAAACCUUACCUACCCUUGACAUGUACGGAAUCCUGAAGAGAUUUAGGAGUGCUCGAAAGAGAACCGUAACACAGGUGCUGCAUGGCUGUCGUCAGCUCGUGUCGUGAGAUGUUGGGUUAAGUCCCGCAACGAGCGCAACCCUUGUCAUUAGUUGCUACGAAAGGGCACUCUAAUGAGACUGCCGGUGACAAACCGGAGGAAGGUGGGAAUGACGUCAAGUCCUCAUGGCCCUUAUGGGUAGGGCUUCACAUAUCAUACAAUGGUACAUACAGAGGGCCGCCAACCCGCGAGGGGGAGCUAAUCCCAGAAAGUGUGUCGUAGUCCGGAUUGGAGUCUGCAACUCGACUCCAUGAAGUUGGAAUCGCUAGUAAUCGCGGAUCAGCAUGUCGCGGUGAACACGUUCCCGGGUCUUGUACACACCGCCCGUCACACCAUGGGAGCGGGUUCUGCCAGAAGUAGUUAGCCUAACCGCAAGGAGGGCGAUUACCACGGCAGGGUUCGUGACUGGGGUGAAGUCGUAACAAGGUAGCCGUA